AAGGACUCCCCCUCGUUCUUCCCCCCUGGCCUCUCUCCUCACUCUCCCCCUCGUCUCCCUCGCUCGGCUCCCUCUCCUUCCCCAUUUCCCUAGCCCACCGCCGACGCGUCGUCGUCACCACUGCGGCCACCGGCGGCCCCGAACGCCGUGGCCGUGUCCAGGAGGUUCGCUGAGCUCCGCCACCUCGUCUGCGACUCCGAAUCAGAGCCGGGAGCCGCUUCACCCUCGCCUACGUCGUCUUCUUGUUCCUCGGGCCGGCGAGAUCGCCGCGAACGCCCCGUCAACUCCGGCGCCUCCCCGAGCACGCUGAGCUACUGCGCGACCUCGCUGUGAGCUCCUCUCCUUCUCCCCUCACUCCCCUGCUUAUUUCCGUGCUCGCAGCCGCCGGCCUCGACAUGGCCGUGCCCAUUACCGAAAACGAGCUCGCCGCCGUGACCACCGUAGUCCGAGCUCGCGUCCGAGCUCGUGGUGGAGCUCAUGGAGCUCGUAGGCGCCUAACGCCGCUCCCCGCGUCGCUUGUUAUACCCCAUUUCGCCGUAGCCGCCAGCACCCGAAUUCCGGCGUCCGCCACGGUCGACACCGCCGCCGAUUUAGGUCACCUCCGGCGAAACCUUUGCCACCCCACGACGCGCGCGAGCGCCAGCUUCCGAACGCAAGUGGAAUCGUGCGAUUUGGUGUGCUGUGGCGAAAAUUCGAGCCUCUCCGGCGAGCCAGCCGCCGCGGAGCGCUCGCCGGCGCGUUCCGGCGACCUCUCCGACGUGGCAAGUGGUGGCGUCCACCCGUAGACGCUGACAGCGGGCCCCGCAGCGCGUUUGACUUUGUUGACCGGGUCAAUGCGCAGCACUGUUCAUCCCCUGUUACUGACCAGUGCGCCCGUGCGUUAAUUAAACUAAUUAAGUUUUAAAAUUAAUCUAUUAAUUAACAUAGACACUGACAUGUGGGGCCCACAUCCUUAAUUAGCUGCUGAUAGUUUAAUUGAUUCUCUAUUAAGCCCUGAGUCACUGACCAGUUGGUCCCACUGGGCCCACAGGUCAGAUUUGACCAGUGAACGCCUCCUGUUGACCGCUGAUGCCAUGCCCACGGUUGACGUCAUUUCCCUUUUCGGGUCAACUCUGUUAAUAUAAAAAAAUCGAGAAAAUGCUUUAAUUUUUGAAAAAUUAUAUAAAAUAAACCGUAACUCCGAUGGAAAAACUUUAUACAUGAAAGUUGCUCAGAACGAUGAGACGAAUCCAAAUGCGCUCUCCGUUUAUCUGUCUCAUGCCUCUAACUACCUGAACAUGCAACCAUACCCCUCCAUUUCAUCUGUCCGGAAAGGCCAGACUUCGGGAAAACAUUCCCGGAUGUUCUCCUCCUUCACCGGUGUCAUGUAGCACUACGAUAGGCCACCUCUAGCAUCGCGUAUCGUAUUGUCAUGCAUUUGUUGCUAUGUAUUUAUUUGUUUCUUCCCCCUCUUCUCUCUCGGUAGACAACGACGUCGACGUAGCUCCCGAGGUCGACGCUGCUCAGGAGCCAGACGACGCAGUUGACGACCUUGCCCUUGCCGUCGAGCAGACAGGCAAGCACCCCCAUUUUGAGCAUUCCGGUAUCGCCCAUUCUCUUCUCUCUCAUGCUUGCACUAGAAUCGCUGCUGCUACUGCUUUACCUAUUCUGAUGCAUAGCAUGUUUAUUGUAACCUGCUGUUACCUACUGCUUAUCCUAAACUGCUUAGUUUAGGUUGGGUAGAGCCUGAUGAGAGAUCCACUUGUCCCAACUGACCCGCUGGACUCUCUGAAGACCCGUGCAACGGGAUCGAAGAUCAGACCCGGGCACCGCACGUCACUUCCCCCUAAGUUGCUCGACACUAAUGGGUUACCGUCACGUGCCGAGGGUGACUCCUCUUCAGCACGUUUGAUGUUAACCUUGUAGGUUAUCUAGUCGGUCGUGGUAAGCGAGGGUGAAUCCUCCUACACCACCCCCCGAUAGCGACGCCAUCUUGCAACUUCUCAAGUGUGGACUUCGAGGGUGAAUCCUCUUCCGUUCACCUUGACGACAACAUCAGGUGGAAUUCCGUCGAGGGUGACUCCUCAGGGUUCCCCUUGGUGUCAGACACACAGUUACAUUGGUUACUGAGACUUGACAUUAAACCAUGAUACUAAAGACGGGUCGGCCCUGAGGGGUACCCGCGCGAGCUGAUAUGCGAAGUGAUGUGGAGACGGGUUGACCUGAGAGGUGCCCGCGAGAUAAUGACGAGGCGUGGCCGGGCAUUCUUAGCCCUUGCCACAAGUCCUCGAGACGGGGCGACGGGGUCACAUCGAUCGUGAGUCUCUGCUCGUUACCGCGCGCUCCUAAUCCACGAGCGGUUUCGAUAUUUGAUCCGAGGGGCCUCUGGCCCGAUAGCACUAACCAUCACGUGGGCAUAGUAUGGGCGUUCUGCGUCGUAUACUUCAACCGGAGCUUAAUUGACGUCAGCGAGGAGCGGCCCGUUUUGGAUUGGACUGGGAACGCAACUGCACUUGUAUAAGGGGUUGCUAGGUUUGCUUCCAAAACAUCCUCGCGGCAUAUUGUUUGGCCGAGGGCGGGCAUGACCCAGUAAAGUGUGUCCGGCCGGAGUUAAGCAAGCGUGGUGGGUAAGUUGGUGCACCCCUGCAGGGAAGAAUCUUCUAUCGAUAGCCUGUCCUACGGUAACGGACACUCGGAGUUGUAUCCCGUUCGGUACAACUAGAACUUGAUGAUGUGAUGAGAAAUGGAUACUAGGGCUCUGGGAUUGCUUUCUCGCAGGGAGUCGAGAAAGGAUCUCAGGCCGAGGUUGAUGAUACUACCACUACUUUACAUUAUGUUACUCUACUCUCUUCUAUGCUGCAAGACUGAAGAUGCUGAAGAUGCCGGUCUUCGAUAGGACUAGGUUUUCCCCCUCUAUUCUGGCAUUUCUGCAGCUCAGUCCACAUAUACAGCCCUUCCUUGAAAAUGUUGCAUUUAUAGUGUAGAUCCUUGCUUGUUGAGUACUUCGGAUGAGUACUCACGUUUGCUUUACUUUCUUUUUCCCCCAUAUUCUUUCGAUGCCGACAGACGACGGAGCCCCUGAGACUGCCGCCCCAGUCGACGACUACGGCUACUACUACUACCCUCCCGACGAGUACUUCUACGAGGAGCCGACGGACGACCAGGAGUAGGAUCGGAGGGUCCAGGGCAGGAGGCCUUCGCCUUUCGAUCGUAGCUUUUAUUUUACCCCGCCUUCUAAAGGCUUAUCUCUCUCUCUAUGUAAUAGUCUGUACUCAGAUUCUGAUGCUUCCGCUGACGCUUGUAUGCCAUCGAGCUUAUGUAUUCGAGCCCUCGAGGCCCUGGCUUGUAAUAUAAAGCUUGUAUGACUUUAUUUAUGUUUUAGAGUUGUGUUGUGAUAUCUUCAAGUGAG
rnacentral:lncRNA from 1 species